GGGUCAGUAGGUUGGUCGUGCCACCGGUACGUACUGGUCUCACUGAUUCCUCCUUCCUGAAGAACCGUAAUGCCAUUAAUUUGGUGUUGCGGGGAAACAGGACUGUUACUUUGAAAAAAUUAGAGUGUUUAAAGCAAGCUAACGCUUGAAUACAUUAGCAUGGAAUAAUGAAAUAGUACGAUCGAUCCUAUUUUGUUGGCUUCUAGGAUUGACGUA
rnacentral:rRNA from 1 species